AGGUUCUGAAACCAUUACAUUCGUUGUUCAUCAUAAUAUAAUUCAUACAAACAUACUAGUCGAUUAACAAAUAAACUAAUCAUUCAUCUUUGACUUGCCUUUAUCUCUACUGGAACCCUCGGUUCGCUCGACCUUAACUGCAAUCAUAUGAUUCAAGCAAGAAGUGAGCAUAACUAGCUCAGCAAGUCUAAUAAUAUAUUAUAUAGAUACCACUUCGGGAAUCAUAUGAUUAUUCUUCAAUAACUGAAUAAUAGUUAUGAAGUACUAUGAAACAUUGAAUAGCACUUCUCAUCUCAUAAAACAAUUCCAAAGUACAUAUAGUAGUUUGGAAAUUCUGAGUAGGUCCAUAGACCAUGAACAUUCUCUUUAGCUUUUAUUCAUGAAAAGGAAAAUCUGGCACUAAGUCCGUAAGUCUGACAUAUCUUACGAGCACAUCUUGGUGAUCAGCCUAUAGUACUCUAUGUUGAUCAACACGACAUCCGUUAAACGUAUUUACGUUUAAGUUUUGGCAACCUCGCGUGCCCAUCAAAUAAUCGAUGUAAAAUACAUUUGUUUAUUCAUACUCAGGCUUACCUUGAAUCCGUACCAAACAAUUGGCGUAGGAUAGCG
rnacentral:lncRNA from 1 species